GUAUAGAUUUAUAUUUUAUUCGUUGGAACCUAGCAGUAUAUUAUCGGGUUUGUCCCAAUAUAUGUCCACAGCUGUAUAAACAAUCUAUGUAAUAAUAGAAAUAUUAGGUUUUUCCUAGUAUAAACACAACCGUUACUAACGCCCAAUUGAUUAUCCAUUUUAGAAAUCGCCAAAUCGGAAAAAAUUUUGAGUAUAAAUAAAUAUUAUUACGAUUAAAAGUACGCCAAGACCACAACGGACCGACCGAGAUUUACUUAUCAUCUCUAAUAAAUCAUAACUAGUAAACAAAAAAGAAGGGGACAAGAUCCCCACCAACCCUACAUCAUCCGCCUGGCAAUGGUGUGUACUAUUCAGAGGAGGUUUAAGUUCCUAUUACCAAAACGUACGCAAUUUCGAGAUAUUACCGUAUAGAUAGGAUAAUAGAGGGAUGAUCAACUCCUACAAAAUUAGGUAAUCUAUAUUGACAUAAUGUUCACUCCUACACUAGAUAGUUAUAAAGUUAAAAAAAGUAAAAUAAGG